ensembl:lncRNA
CUCUAAGGCUCUUCAUCAGUGUCUGUAAAAAAGGCACAGUGAUAGGGCUGGGCACAGGCGGCUGCGAGGAUUACGGGAGAUAGAGCGGCUUUCAUGAUCAGAGCCCUCAGACCAGCGGGCAUUUCCUCACAUCACUGCCGUCAUAGCGCACACUCCUCAGAUCCUCUGCACUGCAUGUGUUGGCUGGGUGAGUGCGUGGGGGAGUGGCAAGCAGAGGAGGGAGAGGGCACCAGGAGAAUGGGUCAAGAAGGAUGCUCCAGUUAUCCCAGGAGAGGUGCCCCGGAGCCCCACUUGAUCACAGGAGAAUCCCAGCAGCCCCUCCUGGGGUCCGUUGGCAUCAGUCCACACUCCACUGUGAGCAGCAUCCUUUCUGUGCUCCAGGGAGGACCUAGUGACAGGGACACUCCAGCUGCAGGGGAGUUCCUAGAAAGUCCAAUGGAAUGGCUGUCAUUCCUCCGCCGUGAGUCAUCAGCCCCAACAAAGCCCACUGGUAUUUCCGAGUCUGUUCCCAGUGCCCGGAGCUGGGCCCAGCGGCUCGGCAGCUGCAGGGAGUGGAAUGCGGCUCCCCCCAGCACUGUGCCCUGGGUUUCGUUUUCGGGAAAGCCUCAUGGCCCCGGAAGUGGGGAGGCACCCUGAAGGUCAUCUCGUCCAGGCUCCUGCCUCUGGGCCCAAAGAUCUUAAGACCUGGGGUGUCUGGGGACCCCCUCUGACCCAUCCGAGUGUGAGGACCAGGGCUACCAGGGUGGGGACAGGAGAAUGAUGUCCCUUUCUCCGUUGUCUCCUUGAUCUUCCACUACAAGGGCUGCAGGUGACGGGGGGGUGGGGGGAAGGAACUCACAGGAAGAAUAGCUUAGCCCCGAGGGUGUGUCUGCCCCCCACGUUUCUCCUUCCUCUUCUGUUUUGGUGUCCAGGCCAGGCCACCCCUGCUUCCCUGUCCAUCCAGGCCAUGCAUCAAAAGCCUGUGGCAGCCCCGUGUCCUGGAAGCUCAGGGCUGUCCUGACUCUGUGGACGGUGGCUGCAGGUUUUGCUGACUGAGCGCCUGUGGCCGGGACGGGUACUGGACGGCCAGCCUCUGCUCUCUGAGUCAUGCCAGCACCCCUGCGGGAGGUGUUCUCAUCCCAUCUUUCCCAAGUACAGCAAAUUUCAAUGACUUCUUCAAGAUCUGCAGCCAGACUUCCUAGGACCGAGGCGAACCCUCUGGAACCAAUUUUCAACCACUGACAGCAGCUUCAGUGAUGCCCGGCUCCUCAAGCAUCUCCCAUCCGAAGUGAAAGAACAACACCCUCUCAGGCCACAAGCCACAGCCUACUGCCCCUCAGCCCUGGCAGGAAGAACUCG